UUGGAAUGAUGGGAAUGUAAAACCCUUCCAGAGUAACAAUUGGAGGGCAAGUCUGGUGCCAGCAGCCGCGGUAAUUCCAGCUCCAAUAGUGUAUAUUAGAGUUGUUGCAGUUAAAAAGCUCGUAGUUGGAUUUCUGUUGUGGUCAACCGGUACCGCCUGUAUAGGUGUGCGCCUGGUAUGCCCAUGGCAUAAUUCCGGUAGCCUACACGAUGCUUCAUUGUAUUGUGUGGGUGUUCUGGAACUUUUACUUUGAGAAAAAUAGAGUGUUUCAAGCAGGCUUGUUGCCCUGAAUACUGCAGCAUGGAAUAAUAAGAUAGGACCUCGGUUCUAUUUUGUUGGUUUCUAGGA
rnacentral:rRNA from 1 species